UACGAAGGGGGCUAGCGUUGCUCGGAAUCACUGGGCGUAAAGGGUGCGUAGGCGGGUCUUUAAGUCAGGGGUGAAAUCCUGGAGCUCAACUCCAGAACUGCCUUUGAUACUGGCGAUCUUGAGUCCGGGAGAGGUGAGUGGAACUGCGAGUGUAGAGGUGAAAUUCGUAGAUAUUCGCAAGAACCCCAGUGGCGAAGGCGGCUCACUGGCCCGGUACUGACGCUGAGGUGCGAAAGCGUGGGGAGCAAACAGG
rnacentral:rRNA from 1 species